rfam:Salmo salar isolate Sally breed double haploid chromosome ssa15, whole genome shotgun sequence.
CCUAAUUGAUCCUGUAAGUCGCUCUGGAUAAGAGUGUCUGCUAAAUGACUGACU